GCUGGAAUUAAAGAUCAAAUAUCUCAAUGUAAGAAAGUUCCUUUUGAUUUUCAAAUUAAAUUUCAAGGUGUUCUUAAGGAUAUAUCUAAUAAAAAUACAAAUAAAAAGAUGCUAAAGAGGCUCAUAAUUGUACUUUUGGGAAUGAUUAUAUAGAUUUAGAAAUUGGAGGAAAUAGAAGAGGAUAUUCAAGAAAUACACGUGUCUUAAGAAAAACAAAGUCAAGAAAAAGGGAAGAGGAAAGCAAGUGACAAGAUUGAAACAUAUUUUGCUCCAAGGACUACUCCUGGAUCUCUGCCUAGUAUAAAGAGUGCUUUAGCUGGUACACAAGCAAUAAAGAGAGCUCAUAUGUCUUGGACUAGAUGGUUUUAUGAUACUUGCAUUCCAUUUAAUGCUUUGCAAUCACCUUAUUUUCAACUUGCUUUAGAUGCCACUGCUGCAAUUGGUCCAGUAUUUAAAGGUCCAUCUUAUAAUGACAUUCGUGUUAAUUUGUUGAGAGAUUGCAAAAAAGAAUGUCAAUUGCUUGUUGACACUUAUCGAAGUCAGUGGAUAGAUAAUGGAUUUACAAUUAUGGCUGAUGGUUGGAUCGAUCAAAGACAUAGAACGUUGAUUAAUUUUUUAUUAUAUUGUUCUUCUGAGAUUGUACUUAUAAAAACUUAUGAUGCAUCAGAUGUAGUGAAAGAUGCUCAAACAUUGUCUAAUUUGUUUUCUGAGAUAGUCGAAUGGGUUGGACCUCGUAAUGUGGUUCAUAUGGUAGCUAAUAAUGCUGCUAACUAUGUGGCGGCAGAGAAAUUAUUGCACGACAGAUAUGAUCACAUUUUUUGGUCUCUUUGUACUGCACAUUGUUUGAAUCUUAUUUUAAAAGAUAUUAGUAGUAUGUCUCACGUACAUUACCUUGCAUUACGUGCUUCGAAAAUUACAAUAUUUAUGUAUAAUCACACAAUUUUUUUUUUGUCUGGGUUGCGAAAAAUACCUGAAUGGAAGGAAAUUGUAAGUCCAGCUGUGACUCGUUUUGCUACCACUUUUAUUACAUUGAAAAGUAUUUAUGAUCACAAACAAGCUUUGCAGAGUUUGGCAACAAGUAGGCAUUUUACAACUCAUAGGCUUUCAAAAAGCGCAAAUGGAAGACUCGUGAGCUCUAUCAUCUUGGAAAACAAAUUUUGGGAAGAUUGCUUGAUGGUUGUGAAAAUUGUGGCUCCUAUUAUAAAAUUGUUACGGAUUGUAGAUUCAGAUAAAAAACCUUCAUUAGGUUAUGUAUAUGAUGGCAUGCAUAGAGCACGAAAAGGAAUUAAGAAUAUAUUCUUAAAUAAGAAGAGAUUGUACAAAUCUUACACUGAUAUAAUUAAGGAGCGACGAGAUAAACAUCUUCGUCUUAACAUGUAUGCAGCAGCUUAUUUUUCCAAUUCUGCUUUCAUUUAUGAAGAAGGAUUUUGUCAAAAAGCAGAAAUCAUGCAAGGUCUAUUUAAUUUGCUUGAAAUCAAAAGUAUUUGUGGUGAUGAGACAAAAGCAAUGGGGGGGAUAAGGAUGGAUCGAGAACGUGAAUGGAGUUUUGGAAGGCAAUCUGCAUGUAAUACUAGAAAAUUACUACAACUUGGUGAGAAAUUGUAUUUAGUUAUUUAUUGUUUAUUUUUAAUCGUUCUUAGAACUUGAAACUAAUUUUAUUAAAUCAUGCAGAUGACUGGUGGAAAUUGUGUGGAUCUAGUGCUCCAACUUUGCAAAAGAUAGCUAUUCGAAGACUUGGUCAAACAGCUUCUUCUUCGAGAUUUGAAAGGAAUUGAAGUGUCUUUGAACAUAUUCACAUGAAAAAAAAAAUAGAUUGAAGCAUCUAAGACUCAACGAUCUUGUCUAUGUUACGUAUAAUUUGCGAUUGAAGAAUAGGUAUAUAAUCUUAAACUUUUUACCAUGUCAAGGGUUUAUUUUAAUGACUCAUUUAUUUGAUAUAUUUUCUUUAUCUAACCACUACUUAUUUACGACGUUAUAGGUGUUAUUAGAAGAAGUGGUCUUAUGAUCCAGUUUAUUAUGAGUGUAUUGACAAGACAAACUUUUGGUAGAGG
rnacentral:lncRNA from 1 species